CGUUGGAUCAAGCGUUUUAAGGGCAUUUGGUGGAUGCCUUGGCGCACAGAGGCGAUG
rnacentral:rRNA from 1 species